GCCGUUCUAGCUCAGCAGGUAGAGCACUUCCAUGGUAAGGAAGAGGUCGGCAGUUCAAAUCUGCUGAACGGCUUCA
rnacentral:tRNA from 1 species